CAAUAGCGUAUAUUAAAGUUGUUGCAGUUAAAAAGCUCGUAGUUGGAUUUCGGAGUGGGCCAGUUGGUCCGCCGCAAGGUGUGUUACUGACUGGUUUGCUCUUCUUCGCAAAGACUGCGUGUGCUCUUCAGUGAGUGUGCGUAGGAUUUACGACGUUUACUUUGAAAAAAUUAGAGUGUUCAAAGCAGGCUAUUGCUUGAAUACAUGAGCAUGGAAUAAUGGAAUAGGACUUUGGUCCCAUUUUGUUGGUUUCUAGGGCCGAAGUAAUGAUUAAGAGGGACAAUUGGGGGCAUCCGUAUUUCGUUGUCAGAGGUGAAAUUCUUGGAUUUACGAAAGACGAACAACUGCGAAAGCACUUGCCAAGAGUGUUUUCAUUA
rnacentral:rRNA from 1 species